rnacentral:rRNA from 1 species
AAUAGAUACCCCGGUAGUCCACGCCGUAAACGAUGAGUGCUAAGUGUUAGGGGGUUUCCGCCCCUUAGUGCUGCAGCUAACGCAUUAAGCACUCCGCCUGGGGAGUACGGCCGCAAGGCUGAAACUCAAAGGAAUUGACGGGGGCCCGCACAAGCGGUGGAGCAUGUGGUUUAAUUCGAAGCAACGCGAAGAACCUUACCAGGUCUUGACAUCUCCUGACCGCCCUGGAGACAGGGUCUUCCCUUCGGGGACAGGAUGACAGGUGGUGCAUGGUUGUCGUCAGCUCGUGUCGUGAGAUGUUGGGUUAAGUCCCGCAACGAGCGCAACCCUUGUCCUUAGUUGCCAGCAUUCAGUUGGGCACUCUAAGGAGACUGCCGGCUAAAAGUCGGAGGAAGGUGGGGAUGACGUCAAAUCAUCAUGCCCCUUAUGACCUGGGCUACACAUGUGCUACAAUGGGCGGUACAGAGGGUCGCGAACCCGCGAGGGGGAGCCAAUCCCAAAAAACCGCUCUCAGUUCGGAUUGCAGGCUGCAACUCG